rnacentral:lncRNA from 1 species
UGAAUAAAGCCAUGCUUGGGUACAUUUCCAGUUUCAACAAGGUAAAGUGCAUAUUUCAGUGUACGCAUUGUGUAGGAACUAGUAGGAUCUGUGUAAUACUGCAUGAUAAGAUAAAUAAUAAUUACAAAAUCAAGCUAUACUCUUUUUAUCCUAUGAUGCAAAAUCAUGAAUCAUAUUAUUUACCGGAUCUUUCCUUGUUAAUCCUUCCUUUGUCUUUCUAAAUGCUAGCUCUUUUACCCAUCCUUCAGGCAAUCCACUUGGGUGAAAGUCCACUAUUGCAAGUAGCUGCAAAUACAAAAAAGGAGAAAAUAAGAAAAAAAUCAUUCAAAGAUAUGAUGUGUUCUUUAGGUAAGAAGUUAUAGCAAGAGCCACAUGUUAUCUUUAGAACUGAUAUCACAUUGUCCAUUUAUAUCAUAUCGGGAGAUGAUUCGCCCAUUAAUAUAGAGUAUAACAUCUUGUUUUGAUAGCAGUCGCACUCCAGUCUUUUGGCAAACAUAAAAAUGCAAAGAAAAUCAUAUUGACAGUCAAUAAUAGUUAUCAAAAUAUGUAUUAAUAUUUUUUACUGACACACCAAACAAUUUGCACUUGGUACCUAUGUUUAUUCCAUGAGUUAUGAGUCCACAAGGCAGCAUAUAGCUUUCUUUAUAAUAAGUUACUCGAAGGCGACAAUUGACUAAAGAAACAUUAAACAAAUACCCCCUCACUGAAUAUGCAAUACAUAGAAAGCAAAGAAUACAAGAUAUUAUACUGAACUUCAAAAUAUGGCAAUAAUUCUUUCAUAAACAGGUAUUGCCUACCCCACCUAUAUGUGUAUAGGGUUGUACUCAAUGCCUUGAAAAAUUCCUAUUCAUUAUUGGCAUAAACUCAUAUCAAACGAAAUGGUGCAUACCAUUGAAUGUUUGUACUUGAUAAUUGUAUUACAAACAAAAAUGUAUGUGUAUCAUGUGUAUUCAUGAUAGUUCUGAAAGGAAGAAACUUCUUGCAUGAAGUAUAUCCUUAUUAAUUUUGUGUAGAUAUUUUCUUUACACAUUAUAACUAAUAAAAUAUCACCAAUGUGAUCCACACAUACACAUAAUAUUCAAAUGAUAUAAAUUCCCGGCAUAACAACAUACAUCAUAUUGUUUUAUGCAUGUUGACAAUAUUAUCCAAGAGCCAAUUACUCAUAAUCUUGUUAAUUCAAAAAAAUAUUUUAUUGGCAAUUAUAAGCAAUGUAUUUUUCUUAUCUACUAUUAAUAAAUUCCACAUCUUAGAGCUUGGGAUUUUUCUAGUUUUCAUGUAACAACUCAUAUGCAAAUAAAAGAACAUUCCAAUAAUGCACAAGUUAUCUUAAAAUCAUCAUUGACAUUAGAGCAUCCAAGUAAAGAAAAACAAAUAGAACAUAGAACAUAUAUUAAAUAUCAAGCAAGGUAAAAACUGACCAAGUCAUGGCUUUAUACCUUAUACAUCUUGUCCAUCUUCUCACCACCAACUCUGAUCUCCAUCACCCACCCCUUUGGAAGCCAUUCUCGUUCUUUCCGCGAGAUGCCAACAUAACAGAUAUAACAUCAUGUCUAAAAUAAAAAUUCAAAACAUCAAAGAUUGUAUCCGUGCACCUAAAGCGUGCUUUCCACACCACAUUCCUUUAUUUCUAGUAUACGCUCAUAUGUCUGAGAAAAAAGGUACUCCAACACCUCUGACUUCUUGGAGAAUGUGCGAUCUGAUAUAGGAGAAGUAUAAUACUACAUUAUAAUCAGUUGAAAAGUUUAAUGAAAAAUCACGAACCUCGUACCAGAAAAGUAAUAGUCAGAUGCAAAUUAUGUACAUGAGAAAAUUCAUACUCGAUUGAUGGUGCCAUCUUCAGCACGGUAGACUUCCAUGAUCCAACCAUCAAGGAGCCAAUUUGGUGGCUCUGCUAAUGCCUCAAUAUCCUCUUCAUCUUCCUCAUUCGUAGCAAUCGGCUACUUUGCCUCCUCCUCAUCUGACACCAUAGUCACAGACUUGUCAUCCAUUUGUCAAGGAGGGUUUGGCUACGAUAUUCC